rnacentral:rRNA from 1 species
CCCUUAGAUGUUCUGGGCCGCACGCGUGCUACACUGAGUGGAUCAGCGGGUCAGGUUGCGCGAAAGCGUUUCCUAAUCUUUAAAUCCGCUCGUGAUGGGGAUUGACGGUUGCAAUUUUAUGUCAUGAACGAGGAAUACCUUGUAAGCGCGGGUCAUCAUCCCGCGCUGAAUACGUCCCUGCCCUUUGUACACACCGCCCGUCGCUCCUACCGAUUGAGUGGUCCGGUGAGGCUUUGGGAUCUGAGCGGAAAGAGCGUUUCGCUGUUUCUGCUCGGAAAACUCAGUCGAACCUUAUCAUUUAGAGGAAGGAGAAGUCGUAACA